UCUGUUCUCUCUUGCUGAAAUCAGUAGCAAAAUGUCACUUGUCUCAGUUACUGCAGAUCAGUCUGGGAGACACAACUGUGAUGUGAUGAGGGAUCUAUAGCUGAGAGGAGUUUGCCUGAAUACAUAGGUGCCUAAUUCCUCUUUGUUUCAUUGGGACUGAGGCAAACGUCUGAAGGUCUGGGCUUUGGGAGCCAUUCUGCAUCCCUUGAAGCAUGUAACCAGCUGGUGGGUAAGUAAUCCUGAUGGAUAAGUGGGACUGAGGAAGGGUUAGCACAGUGGCAUCUCUGUAAAAUGUUGUCUUGGUCAUUGAGUUAGUUUAGUAAAAGGCUGUUGUUGUUCUGAGUUGUGUUUCAGGAUCACUAUAAUGAAAUCUUUUAUGUGAGUGCAGGAGAGCGACUUCUUUUCGCAUUUUGUGUUGCUCAAGCAGAUGUUCUAGAAACUAGCAAAAGAAUGUGCUAUUUAAGAGGGAUGUUUCAAGGCUCCUGCUGUCUCCUAGUAGAAUGCCCAUGUUUGGGGUUAUUUUAUGCCUGAGUAUAUCAGCUGAUAAAAGUUUCCCCAAAGUAAGAUAUAAAAAACUGAGGUUAAGCACAAGUUCAGGAGGAGCCUACGUCAGAAAAUUCCUGUGCUCAUUUCUUCCCUUGGGCCUGACCCCAUUGCCCCUGCCAGGCAGGAAGGAGCCCUCCCUGCUCAUAGCAGGUUGUUCUUCCAACCACCAUGACAGACGGCUGGGCACGGAGCCUUCGGCAAAAGAAAAGAUGAGAGAUAAGUUACUGGUAGCAUAAUCCCAGCAUGUCUUAGAAAGAUGAGCUUGGAAAGAGAUUUCCUGCUCUCAGGUGAAAUUCAGCACUGAGUUUGUAGCUGGAGUAUUGUGGUUUCUGAAAAUCUCCAUACAGACACAUGCAUGCUUGCAGAUGCACACACAAAUCACUGCUGCGAAUGAACUCUGUUGCAACCAGGCAGCUUUGUGUAAUUUUUGCCAUCCACAUUUUCCAGUUCUGAAAAGAAAGUGCAAAUGAAAAUGUGAAAACAGGAAUGGUGUUUGCUCCCUGGGUUUUCUGUGUUAGAGCCAAGAGAGAUAUAAAAAGCCAACAGAAGCUUGGAAACUGUAACCUUGGGACUUCAUUUGGCCCUGCAAAUCCUUCUCUAAGCACCUUCUGAAAAGCAAGGCAGUGAAAUCCCGGAGUAGGCAAUAACAUUAUAUGCUAUAGAACUUCUGGAAUUCAAUAUUUUUAUUAAGGAGCCUUCAGAUUUUGUUUGCAAGUGACUGAAGGGACAUAGUGGCACCACUGCCACUGGCUUCAGAGAGGACUUUUGUCGCCAAAUCACAGUGUCGCUUUCAAAAAUCUUACCUCAAGUUCUCAACCCUUAGCACUCAUUCCUGGAUGUCCAGAAUCCAAAUCUGUCUGUCUAGCUGUUUCCUUCUGAAGGCAGAGCACAUCCUCAUGAAGCAAAGUAGGCACCUCCAGGGACUUGUUUCCAUAACAACCUCCCAGACUGUUUCUCUUUAGCCUGUGACAGUGGCUACAAGCAAAAGCACUCAUUGCGUAUUUUCAGCUUUCAGAUGUUAGCACCUUGUCUUUAUAGCUGUUUCUUUGCUUACUGAACAUGAUCCCACCACCUUAUAUCAUGUACAACUGUCCUGUCCAACUUCAGACAGACAGUUGUCAGCAUGUGAAAGCAAAGAGUGCAAACCAGGAGAUGGGAAGGGAUUGUAUUUGUAUAUCCUUGCACAGAGAGAGGUGGGGAGUGUGUGAAGGACAAUCUGAGCACUCACAGUCAAGGAUCUGAGGGGCAACUGGCCUGUGAAUGUAGAGUCAACUGGGUGCCCAGUGACAAGGAAUACAAGCUAAAGCAUCACAUUGAAAAACCCAGAAACUCCCCUUUCAACAAUCUUGCUGGGAAAUAGUUUUGCUGUGGAAGAGUCCAUGGCUCUUUCCCAAACCCUUGGCUGUCCUGCAACAUCAGUUCCCCAGGUAAUUUCCCCAUGGGAUGUUUUACACCAAAGCAGGACAAGGCAGAAAGCAUCUCACUGGAGGUGGGGAAGGAAGGAAAAGAAGAAUUUUACUGAGGACACCUUUUUUUUUAGUCCGCAACUCAUUGACCACAUCAAAGACUGUAAGUGUGAAAGGCAUGAAGAGCUGUUUUGUGAUAUUUCAAAGCCUGCAUUACUGGUGUAUCCCUGCACUUACCUCCAAGAUGAAAUUCCUAUUCUGCUCCUGCUUGGAAGAAGUCACAGUUCAGGAUUUCUGAGUAAUUUUCUGGUUUGGCCCUGUUCCUUUUGAUCCAGCUUUCAUGGAUAAAAAUUCACUGCUACAGGAGCUAUGGAGGUGAAGGUGACCGGACUUGGUGUUCUCUCCUAGGCCCCCUUGUUCAGUGUACAGAGAUCCCUAUGGAGGUGAAGAAGAAUGAGUAUAAAGGAAAUUCAGGGCAGCAAAAGACAGGGUAAGGACUGAAGUGUCUUCCAUACUGUGAUGGAAAAAGCAGCAUCAAUCCUAAAAGCAAAGGAACAAACAGCUCCAGCGUCUGCUGCUUUAGCAGAAGUAGGUCCUGUUUAUAUCAGCGUAAGAUCUGCAGAUCACAGCAGGAGUUAACCACAGCAUUCCCAAAAGCUCUUAUGUGACUUAAGUCCAAUCAUACCUCUCUGUGAUGACCUUCCUUCUUCCUGGGAAGUCCUCGCUACCAUGAGCUCCCUGGAAUCAUUGGAACAGUGCAUUGCACCUAAUUUUGAGAAAAGUCUUGAGCCAGCUCUACUACAGCUUAACCAGGUUAUCUGAUUUGGAUGCGGAAAUCAACAGAAAUGUAUGAUCUUCAACAACUUUUGUUGAAUGGAAGGUCAGAGCAGUUGGUAACAAUGGCCACUCUGGCCUGAAGAGGUUAGCAGAAUAAUUUCCUAUUCUAGGCUCUGUUGUGACAGACAGAAUAAAGCUUCACGUUUUCUUGCUUACCUCUUUCAUUUCAUACCGUGGAAAAGUCACAAAAUACCCUGUUAAGCUCAGCAGAUAGAAUAGACAUU
ensembl:lncRNA